rnacentral:lncRNA from 1 species
AGAGGGUUAUGAGUCACAAAGAGAGACACCAAGUAUAAAACACAGCCUGAUGCCUCGGGUCUGUUACUACUCAGACACACAGACAGACAGAAAGAGACAGGUAAAGAGAGAGACUGACAGAGAGAGAGAGAGAGAGAGGCUCAUGAAGGAAUACGUUGACAAGAGGAUGUGUAUUCUGCGUCUUGGGGAAGGAAGUCAACAGCAGGUAACAUUAUAGAUAGCUCAUAGCCCAGAGAUCAUGAUGUAGCUAACGUUUUAGUACAUCCUGAACUAUAACACAUUAUAUACAACUGUUUCUGUAAUACUUUUAUACAGGAAGGACCAUCCUGUUACUGUAAUACCUUUAUACAGGACAUCUAGACCGUCCUGUUACUGUAAUACCUUUAUACAGGACAUCUGGACCAUCCUGUUACUGUAAUACCUUUAUACAGGACAUCUAGACCAUCCUGUUACUGUAAUACCUGUAUACAG